AGCGAAGCCCGCCUACGCGGGCUA
rfam:Cyanothece sp. PCC 7424, complete genome.